rnacentral:rRNA from 1 species
GAUGAACGCUGGCGGCGUGCCUAAUACAUGCAAGUCGAACGCAUAGCGAAAGGUGCUUGCACCUUUCAAGUGAGUGGCGAACGGGUGAGUAACACGUGGACAACCUGCCUCAAGGCUGGGGAUAACAUUUGGAAACAGAUGCUAAUACCGAAUAAAACUUAGUGUCGCAUGACACAAAGUUAAAAGGCGCUUCGGCGUCACCUAGAGAUGGAUCCGCGGUGCAUUAGUUAGUUGGUGGGGUAAAGGCCUACCAAGACAAUGAUGCAUAGCCGAGUUGAGAGACUGAUCGGCCACAUUGGGACUGAGACACGGCCCAAACUCCUACGGGAGGCUGCAGUAGGGAAUCUUCCACAAUGGGCGAAAGCCUGAUGGAGCAACGCCGCGUGUGUGAUGAAGGCUUUCGGGUCGUAAAGCACUGUUGUAUGGGAAGAACAGCUAGAAUAGGAAAUGAUUUUAAUUUGACGGUACCAUACCAGAAAGGGACGGCUAAAUACGUG